rnacentral:lncRNA from 1 species
GGAAACUUCUCCCUCAGCGAGGAGCACACAAAGACCAGAAUUUCGACAGUUCCCUCACCUGUUACCAAACCCCAGAGGCUACAGAGUACACAGGGCACGGCAGCUCCGGUGGCAGUCCACUCCAUGAAGAGGGAGGCCUUGACACACAAGAGAAAGAAGUAGUGAAGUCUGAGCAAGGAUCUGCCCCCGGCUCCCUGCACCUGCCUCCUAGAGCUACACAGAUGCCACCCAUCCGUGAAUGUUGAGAGAAGACCUCUGAAGUCCCCAAGCAAAGCACUCCAAAAGCCACAGAGCUGUCUGCGAGUCACAUGGCCAAACCUACUGGAAGCACCCAGGCAAGGGCUCCCAUCCCAACACAGAGAGCAGUCCCGGGAAGGUGGCCAGGGACUGGGGAGCGGCAUUCUCUCCGGAGUUCGGCAGCCCAGCAGUUAACAGGCUCGGGCUGGGCAAGCAACGAACUGCCACCAACAACCUCGGGAAUUAAAGCGCCCGCUGCCUCCUGCUGAAACCUCUUCAAUAAACGGUCCUAUUCAGAACCAG